rnacentral:rRNA from 1 species
GACGAACGCUGGCGGCGUGCCUAAUACAUGCAAGUCGAGCGGAGUUGAUGAGGUGCUUGCACCUCUGAUGCUUAGCGGCGGACGGGUGAGUAACACGUAGGUAACCUGCCUGUAAGACUGGGAUAACCCACGGAAACGUGAGCUAAUACCGGAUAGACGAAACUCUCGCAUGGGAGAUUCGAGAAAGGCGGAGCAAUCUGCCGCUUACAGAUGGACCUGCGGCGCAUUAGCUAGUUGGUAGGGUAACGGCCUACCAAGGCGACGAUGCGUAGCCGACCUGAGAGGGUGAUCGGCCACACUGGGACUGAGACACGGCCCAGACUCCUACGGGAGGCAGCAGUAGGGAAUCUUCCGCAAUGGGCGAAAGCCUGACGGAGCAACGCCGCGUGAGUGAUGAAGGCCUUCGGGUCGUAAAGCUCUGUUGCCAAGGAAGAACAGCCGAGAGAGUAACUGCUCUCGGAAUGACGGUACUUGAGAAGAAAGCCCCGGCUAACUACGUGCCAGCCGCCGCCGUAAAAC